rnacentral:rRNA from 1 species
UACGUAGGGGGCGAGCGUUGUCCGGAUUUAUUGGGCGUAAAGAGCGUGUAGGCGGCCAGGUAGGUCUGCUGUGAAAACUCGAGGCUCAACCUCGAGACGUCGGCGGAAACCAUCUGGCUAGAGUCCGGAAGAGGAGAGUGGAAUUCCUGGUGUAGCGGUGGAAUGCGCAGAUAUCAGGAGGAACACCUAUGGCGAAGGCAGCUCUCUGGUACGUGACUGACGCUGAGACGCGAAAGCGUGGGGAGCAAACAGG